CCUACGGGUGGCAGCAGUGAGGAAUAUUGGUCAAUGGCCGGAAGGCUGAACCAGCCAUGCCGCGUGAAGGUCAGUGCCCUAUGGGCGUUAAACUGCUUUUGUGCGGGAGCAAUAAUGGUCACGUGUGGCCAGACGAGAGUACGGUACGAAUAGGCAUCGGCUAACUCCGUGCCAGCAGCGGCGGUAAUACGGGGGAUGCAAGCGUUAUCGGGAUUUAUUGGGUUUAAAGGGUGCGUAGGCGGUGAGGUAAGUCAGUGGUGAAAUGCCCCCGCUCAACGGGGUGAAGUGCCAUUGAUACGGGCUGGCUGGAAUGCGGAUGGGGUGGGAGGAA
rnacentral:rRNA from 1 species